UCCCUGGUAGUCUAAUGGUUAAGAUUCUAGGCUUUCACUGAGGUGGCCCCAGGUUCGAUUCCUGGUUGGGAAA
rnacentral:tRNA from 1 species